GGCAAUUAAGCUAAAAAAUAUUAAUGAAAGUCCCGCGUAAUUUUAUCAAAAGAUUUAUCCGUUUAUUUAUUAAACACGAAAACGACAGAGAAUCUGUACCAUGUACAAAGUUUGCAGCAUUGUCGGCCGUUUGUCGGGUGAGUGUAGACAAGGGAUGAAAUGCUGAUGCGUGCGCCGUUAAAUGAGGAAAAAUACAGGGCGUCGCGACGCCCCACGGAAUCGGAAAUGCGACGAGCGCUUUAAAGUUUAAACAGUAGUUGCCGGCAGGACUCUAGGCUCUGCGACAUACGUAAGCUCUGUAACCUCGCGUAAAAUAGGUUAGAACAAUUAAAUGUUAAAUCUGAGAAUGGUGGGGAUGCCGCUGCUAGAGGUUGUGACUGCAAGAGUUGGGGACGGUCGGGUCGACAUACGAGGUGAAGGUGAAUCAGGAUACAGAAAGUUGGAAAGGGAUAGAGCAUCUUGUACAUGCACGUAAUUAAACAGAAGCGAACAUAUCCCAACCGUGCCUGAGUCUCUCGCUGCAAUUUCUAUUCUACUGGGACAUUCCGUACAACAUUAUCAACCUAGUCUGUAUUCAUUGCCAAGUGGAAACUUUAUACGUGGGAAAAUUGAGGUUAUAUUAAACGAGGGUCAUAGAGGGGAUAGGAUCGUUCGAUAUGGCGAUUCGAGAAGAUACCUGAAUUCGAUAUCAAAGCAAGAUAAAGUGUCGUCGAAUAAUUUUAAUUGAAAAGCUUAAUCAUAGUGAGAAAAAAAUUGACGAAAGAUCAGCCCUGCAGGAAAAUUCGUUCUACGGCUAUAUUUUCCUGCUAACGUAUUUAUAAUGCUCGUAUCGUUUCUGCCUGCGCCUUAAAUUUAGAAGGGAGGUUUACCCUUCGAAAGCUUAAAAGCUUCUUUGUCCGUUGAUGCGCGAGUGGGCGUAAAGCUUGAUGGGAAUAUAAGUGGCGGGACGUAGACGACGUAUCUCCAUAAUACGCCUAUGGGAAAGCCCAAUUGGUCGGAUUACGUAAGAAGAGUACAGCGAAGUGCACGCCAAGCCAUGCAAAUAUCAGGAGUUCGACCAGGAAUCCGUUUAACGGGAACUUGGGGUAGCUACUUCUAGGCGAGGUCGAGGAAGAGCUAAAAGGAUGUAAAAGGACGGAGGAACGCUUUGAGGCUACUGGGAACUUUUGCAUAGCGGGAAACAAGCAACAAAUGCGCGGGCCACGAUGUUGCUCGACGCUACCGGGCCCCAGGGGCGUAUUAUUUAUUAACUGUAAUAUCGGAUAUUGCAUUAAAACUUUUCUCGAGCAUGCACUAGCACCCGUCCUUGUA